UUUUUAUCAUCUUUUCUAGCCGAAUUUGAACAAAAGAAAAAAAAGGAAGAAAGCUAGCUAGGUUCGGCCAUUGUUGUGCUUAAAUUUAAGGUUAGUUCUUUGUUCGGUUUUUGAUAAUUUUUACGUUUUUGAGAUCGUUGCUUCGAAUACUUCAAAACCCAUGUAUUAAUUUUGUGAAUUGUUGAUGAUUUUGAAAUGUGCCAUUGAUGAAUGUUUGAGUUUUGUGAUGUUAGUUGAUGAAAUAUGAAAUAUAUGUGUUAGAUUAACAUGUUUUGUCUUUGAAUUUUUAGUGAAUUUGAGUAAUUUGAGUUAAAUUGUGAAAAUAAAUUUUUGAGGGACUAAAAUGUGAAAUAAAUGAAAUGUGUGGACUUGUAUGAAGACAAGGAACAUUCGACCCUAGCAUAGUGUGGGCAAAUUUUGUGUAUUUUGUGUUUUGGUGCAAAAAGGACUAAAUUGCAAAAAGUGUAAAAUGUCAGGGGUAAAAUGGUAAUUUGUCUAUUUAUGUAUUUUUGGAUUUAAUUGAAUGUUUUGAUGAAUAAAAAGGUUAAAUUUGAAUAUGUUUAGAUCAAGAAACGAAGAAAACGGAAUUGGAUCGGGGGAAAACGAAAGUAGUCGAGUAGUCGAUUGUGUCCGCUGAUAUCCGAGGUAAGUCUAUUAGUUAUUUAAUAUUAUUAAAUCGGUAUAUAGGUAUGUAAAUGUAUUGUAUUUUUGUUGAACUUUAAUUUAAAAGCAUAUUGAUUGAAAUAAAAUAAAGUAUGAAUGAUAUACAUGUAUUAUUAAUGUUCGAAUAUAUGUAUAGGUUUAUACUUAUAUAAACCUUUAAAUUUAGUUAAAGUAUAACCGGAUAUAAGUAUAUACAUGUAUAAAUUGUUAGAUUAAUCAAAGAUAUGGAUAAGAUAUAUGUAUAUAUAUAAGGUUCAAAUGAUUAUAUAAGUAUAUUUAUAUAUAAACUCUUGGAUUUGAUUUGUGAUAUAUGUAUGUUAUAAUUGUAUAUAUAUAGAUUCAAACAAGCAUACAAAUACACAUAUAUGUGUUGUGUAUUGAAUUUCGAUAUGUCAUAUAUAUAUGUAUAAGUUCUUGUUUUGAAAUUGAGUAUGAAUUUAUAUAUUUAUAUGGUAGAUUCGAAUAUGUAUAAAUGCACAUGUAUAAUUUCUUGAAUUGAAAUUAGGUUUGGGAUUAUAUAUGUAUACAUGAAAUCAAAUGUGAACGUAUAUGCAAAUGUAUAAGUUUUGUAUUGAAUAAAUGGUAUGAAAUUAUUAGCUUAGAUUAUUUUAAUAUGUUCGAAUGCUAAAGGCACAUAGUAUAUUAUAAGUUCAAUCUUACGAUAUUAGUAGUAGAAUCAAAAGUAUGAGGUUAUAUAUAUAAAUAUGUUUUGGUUGAAUUAUUGAAUUAUCAAGUUAGACUUGGUGAUGGAGAUUUAUAUAUCCAUGUGUUUUAAAAAUAUAAGUUAUGAAUUUUGAACUGAAUCUCUAUGCAUGGAUUUUAUAUAAUAUAUAUAGUUUGAAAAUAAGAUGUUUCAGACUUUACGUCUAAGAGGCUUGAUGCCGAUGAAAUGUUUCAGACUUUAUGUCUAGCAGGCUUGAUGCCAGUGAAUUACUUCAGACUUUAUGUCUAGCAGGCUUUGUGCCGGUGAAAUGUAUCGGGCUUUGUGCCUAGCAGGCUUUAUGCCGAUGUUUUAUACAAGGCUCUAUGUUAUAUAAAUCUUAUGUGAGCAAUAGUAAAAGCAAAUAAUGUGUUAAGAAAGCUAAAUUAUUCAGGUAUGUGUUAGCCAUUUGCUUAAUUAGUGUUAAGGUAAGUUGAUUGUUAUAAUUUGAUAAUAGUUUCAAAUGAAAUAUAGAGUAUGAGUUUACCAUUUGAGUAUAAGCAUUUUUGGCACAAUGAUUUAUUUAAUAUUUGGCUUUGCUAAAUAUUUAUGUGUAUUUGGCCAUAUGGUUUGUUUAUGUGAAAAUACAAGGUGAUUUUUAUUAAAGUGUUAUAUGGUACAAAUAUUAGGAUAUUUUGUUUAUUUUAUCUUAAUGAUGGAAUAAGUAUUAGUAUAUAUAUAAAUGAAUUUUUUAUUAUAAUUUACUAAGCUUUAAUAGCUUAAUGUGUGUUUGUAUUUGUUUACCUCUGUUUUAUAGAUUUUGGAGUCGCGUUACGAGCUCAGGGAUUGUCAGCAUAG
rnacentral:lncRNA from 1 species